rnacentral:rRNA from 1 species
UCCUGGCUCAGAUUGAACGCUGGCGGCAUGCUUUACACAUGCAAGUCGAACGGCAGCACGAAAGAGCUUGCUCUUUUGGUGGCGAGUGGCGAACGGGUGAGUAAUACAUUGGAACGUACCGAGUAAUGGGGGAUAACUGUCCGAAAGGAUGGCUAAUACCGCAUACGCUCUGAGGAGGAAAGCGGGGGACCUUCGGGCCUCGCGUUAUUCGAGCGGCCAAUGUCUGAUUAGCUAGUUGGUGGGGUAAAGGCCUACCAAGGCGACGAUCAGUAGUGGGUCUGAGAGGAUGAUCCGCCACACUGGGACUGAGACACGGCCCAGACUCCUACGGGAGGCAGCAGUGGGGAAUUUUGGACAAUGGGCGAAAGCCUGAUCCAGCCAUGCCGCGUGUCUGAAGAAGGCCUUCGGGUUGUAAAGGACUUUUGUCAGGGAAGAAAGGGUUUGGGUUAAUACCCUAAGCUUA